UACGGGGGGGCAAGCGUUGUUCGGAAUUACUGGGCGUAAAGGGCUCGUAGGUGGUCAACUAAGUCGGACGUGAAAUCCCUCGGCUUAACCGGGGAACUGCGUCCGAUACUGGAUGACUUGAGUUCGGGAGAGGGAUGCGGAAUUCCAGGUGUAGCGGUGAAAUGCGUAGAUAUCUGGAGGAACACCGGUGGCGAGGGCGGCAUCCUGGACCGACACUGACGCUGAGGAGCGAAAGCCAGGGGAGCAAAGCGGG
rnacentral:rRNA from 1 species